rnacentral:rRNA from 1 species
GAUGAACGCUGGCGGCGUGCCUAAUACAUGCAAGUCGAGCGACCGGACGAGAAGCUUGCUUCUCUGCUGUUAGCGGCGGACGGGUGAGUAACACGUGGAUAACCUACCUAUAAGACUGGGAUAACUUCGGGAAACCGGAGCUAAUACCGGAUAAUAUUUUGAACCGCAUGGUUCAAAAGUGAAUGACGGCCUUGCUGUCACUUAUAGAUGGAUCCGCGCUGCAUUAGCUAGUUGGUAAGGUAACGGCUUACCAAGGCAACGAUGCGUAGCUGACCUGAGAGGAUGAGGGGGGAAACUGGAAGUGAGACACGGGACAGAGUAAUAAGGGAGGCAGAAGUGGGGAAUGGGGGACAAUGGGCGGAAGCAUGAUAAAGCCAGACAGCGUGGGGGAAGAAGGCCUGCGGGUGGGAAAGCACUGUUGUUGGGAAAGAAAAGCAGCAGGGGAAGAAAACGAGGGUCUGACGGUAACAAAAGAAGAAGCACCGGCUAACUUCGUG